GAAAAAUUAUUAAAAAAACAUUAUAAAUUAAUUAGUUUCUAUAGAUGAAAUGGAUAGAAGGAACCAAGGAAAGGAGUAAAAGAAUAUGGUAUUAAUUAGGAAGUUAAAAGAAACUAAUUAUAAUUAUAAUGUUAAUGGUCUAACCACGAGGAGGUAACCGCUUCUGAAGACCCGGGAUGUGCAUCCUAAAGAUGUCCCCAUCCGAAUUAAAUCGAAACCAAAGAAAAUGGAAACCCCGAGAACGUUUUCUAAUGAGCCCCACUCUUAGGCCCCACCCUAAGAGUUUUAUUCGGAAAAUCUUUACAAUUACUAUCGAUAAUGAAGAGAAAAA
rnacentral:lncRNA from 1 species